CAAGAGGUAGUUUAACUAGAAUAUCAGCUUUGGGUGUUGAUGGUAGGGUGUAAGCUCUUCUCUUGA
rnacentral:tRNA from 1 species